AUUGGGCCUAAAGCGUCCGUAGCCGGUUUAAUAAGUCUCUGGUGAAAUCCUGCAGCUUAACUGUGGGAAUUGCUGGAGAUACUAUUAGACUUGAGACCGGGAGAGGUUAGAGGUACUCCCAGGGUAGAGGUGAAAUUCUGUAAUCCUGGGAGGACCGCCUGUUGCGAAGGCGUCUAACUGGAACGGUUCUGACGGUGAGGGACGAAAGUUAGGGGCGCGAACCGGAUUAGAUACCCGGGUAGUCCUAACUGUAAACGAUGCGGACUUGGUGUUGGGGUGGCUUUUGAGCUGCUUCAGUGCCGAAGGGAAGCUGUUAAGUCCGCCGCCUGGGAAGUACGGUCGCAAGACUGAAACUUAAGGAAUUGGCGGGGGAGCACCACAACGCGUGGAGCCUGCCGGUUUAAUUGGAUUCAACGCCGGACAUCUCACCAGAGGCGACAGCUGUAUGAUAGCCAGGUUGAUGACUUUGCUUGACUAGCUGAGAGGUGGUGCAUGG
rnacentral:rRNA from 1 species